GCCUCGAUGGCUCAGUUGGAGGAGCGUUAGACUGAGGAUCUAAAGGUUACUAGGUCGAUAUUGGCUCGAGGAA
rnacentral:tRNA from 1 species